UUCCCAUACCGAACACGGAAGUUAAGCUCUUCAGCGCCAAUGGUAGUUGGGGGUUUCCCCCUGCAAGAGUAGGACGUCGCCGGGC
rnacentral:rRNA from 1 species